GUUAUAAGGAAGUGACGUGUGUUUGUGUCAGUCAGAGGAGAUCCCUUCAGUUCAUCUUCAUCAUCAGUCAUGUUCUCUGUAGCUCUGAUACUGCUGUUGGCAUCUGGAUCCUGUGUGUACAGUAUAGACCUGAUCCAGCCAGACUCAGUGGUCCUGCAGCCUGGACACACUUUGACCAUCAGCUGUCAGGUCUCUGGUUAUUCUCUGACUGAUGGCAGCUAUGAUACAGGUUGGAUCAGACAGCGUGAAGGAAAACCAAUGGACUGGAUAUUCGAUCAAUGGGGAGGAAGUAGUGGCAGCUUUUAUAAAAACAAUGCAUUUCAGAACAAGUUCAGCUUCAGCAGAGACAUGUCUGCUGGAAGAGUGACUAUAAGUGGACAGAAUCUGCAGCCUGAAGACACAGCUGUUUAUUACUGUGUACGUCGCCCCACAGUGACACAAACACCAACAGACCUGCACAAAUACCCAGCAGCCACUGCAAUACCAGAGAAACUAUGAACAAUGUGAACUGUA